rnacentral:rRNA from 1 species
GAUGAACGCUAGCGACAGGCCUAACACAUGCAAGUCGAGGGGCAGCACAAGGAGCAAUCUGAGGUGGCGACCGGCGCACGGGUGAGUAACACGUAUGCAACCUGCCUGUAAGCGGGGGAUAACCCGUUGAAAGACGGACUAAUACCCUAUAACACAGGGGUCCCGCAUGGGAAUAUUUGUUAAAGGACAACCGGUUGAAGAUGGGCAUGCGUUCCAUUAGCUAGUUGGCGGGGUAACGGCCCACCAAGGCAACGAUGGAUAGGGGGAACUGAGAGGUUUAUCCCCCACACUGGUACUGAGACACGGACCAGACUCCUACGGGAGGCAGCAGUGAGGAAUAUUGGUCAAUGGACGCAAGUUCUGAACCAGCCACGUUCGCGUGAAGGAAGACGGCCCCUACGGGUUGUAAACUUCUUUUUAUACGGGGAAUAAAGUGCCCCCACGCGUGGGGUUUUGACAUGUACCGUAUGAAUAAGGAUCGGCUAACUCCGUG